UUUCCGUAGGUGAACCUGCGAAAGGAUCAUUACAGAGUUCAUGCCCGAAAGGGUAGACCUCCCACCCUUGUGUAUUAUUACUUUGUUGCUUUGGCGAGCGCAAGCUCGCCAGUGAAUACCAAAACUCUUUUUAUUAAUGUCGUCUGAGUACUAUAUAAUAGUUAAAACUUUCAACAACGGAUCUCUUGGUUCUG
rnacentral:misc_RNA from 1 species